UGGGGAAUUUUCCGCAAUGGGCGCAAGCCUGACGGAGCAAGACCGCGUGGGGGAGGAAGGUUUGUGGAUUGUAAACCCCUUUUGAUUGGGAAGAUGAUGACGGUACCAAUCGAAUCAGCAUCGGCUAACUCCGUGCCAGCAGCCGCGGUAAUACGGAGGAUGCAAGCGUUAUCCGGAAUUAUUGGGCGUAAAGCGUCCGUAGGUGGUUCAUCAAGUCAGUUGUUAAAGCGUGGGGCUUAACUCCAUAAGGGCGAUUGAAACUGAUGGACUAGAGUUUGGUAGGGGCAAGGGGAAUUCCCAGUGUAGCGGUGAAAUGCGUAGAUAUUGGGAAGAACACCGGUGGCGAAAGCGCCUUGCUGGGCCAGUACUGACACUGAGGGACGAAAGC
rnacentral:rRNA from 1 species